UUAUCCAUAUUUCACAUAACCUCUUGAUAUCUCCUGUAAACCUCUCCACUAAUUAGGGUUUUAAUCACCUCUGGAUAUCUCGUGUACACCAUUCCAGGUCUAAAUAAAAAAACAUAACCAUUACUCCAUCCGUCCACAUAUUAGGGUUUUGCUACUUCGCCAUUGCAAGGUAUAAUUCUUGAUUAGGGUUUUGCUACUUCCAUUCCAAGAAUAUGAUAUCACAGGGUGUGACAGUUGGAGGAUCAAGAUCAUACUUUGUUGAUCUGUUGCAUGGUUUAUUGAAGUUUGAUCAUGUAGACCGUCUCACCGCUUAAUAUGCUCUUGACCAUCCGUUCUUCAGAAACAGUCUUGCAUAAGCUGACAACAGUUUUCUGGUAUAUACAUGAUGAAUUCUUCUGCCGGCGAUCACCAAAUAUUAACCGUAAGUUCAACUAAUGGAAGAUCAUGGCUCGUUAUACUUGCUUACAGCUCUUUAAGAAAUAUAUGUGUUCCGACAACUAGGGGCGACAAUUCUUGACACAACCCGUCAACCUGACCCGAACCCGACACCAAAGAAAACAGGUUUGGGUUGACUAAUACGACCCGUUUAAAAAGACGGGUCGGAUUUGGGUUGACACGUAUUAAAAACGGGUCAGGUUCGGUUGACCUGUAUAAAAUGGGUUGACCCAUUAAUCCGUUGAACUAUUUAGGAAAAAAAAAACUUUUAUAUUUUUUUUUCGUUUUUUUCUGAUUCCAUUUUACAUGCUUAGUUAUAAAAACACAUUAUAUUUUUUAUUUGUAACACUCAUACUCAUCAUUAAAUUUAUUAUCGAUAACCCGCUUAAAACCCAACAACUCAUUUAUAAAUCGUCAACUUGUAUGACUCAUUUAAAAAUACGAGUUAAACGGGUCAGGUUUGGGUUGACCCGAAUUUAUGUGGGUCGUGUUAGGGUUGAAGAAGCCUACAACAAACAAUCGCACUGCCAUAAGCAUCAUCCGUGAUUCUUUAUUGGUUUUUUUUUUUUUUUUUGGUUUUUUGGAUAUGGGAAAUCCAAAUUUGAAAGAUCUUGAGAGCUAUUUGAGCAUGCUGUUGAAAUGGUAUGCAUGCAGAGCUGGACAUGGGGCUUGAAGAUAAUCAACGAUUCAAGAAAUAUUAUUUUUUAUAUUAUUAUUGAGCUGCAAGUGAUUCGGGAUAGUAAUGAUUGCGGUAUGGUAAUGUUGGGCUAGAGUUGACUUUGUGUAAAGUCAGCUAAUGUGCUAUACUUGCCAAGUCAACAAUCCGUACAACAUGAUUGGGUAGAGGCAAAGGUAUGGACAAAGGCAAUUGAUUUAGUGCAUCAGUUGAGUUCCAUUGAUUUAGAGACUCAAAUGCCAAAAGUCCCCAGGUAUGUCAACAUUGUAAUUGGGAUUGCCAUUCCAGCAGUUUGGAUACUGGCCAGUUCACACUGAUCCGUGUAAACUGUUUUUUCUUUUUUUCUUUUUUUUGGCAUGCAAUUGGAUGCCCACUACAAAUGCACCUGGUUAUGUUUUAUUGUUGGAUCCUAUGUUGUCAAAGACACAAGGCGCAGGCGAGGCACCUCGCCUGAAGCCUAGGCACAAGGCGCAAAAAAAGCGUGGGCUUUUUUAAGAAAAGCGUAUAUAGAGGAAUUUCAUAUUGUUUACUCUUUAGCAUAAGUGGAAUCACAUACAUUAGUAAUUUUUGUGCAUUUCUGUUUGUUUGGUUUGCGAUGUUUUUUUUAUUGUUGGGUUUGACAUUCAUAUUGAGGAAUUUCAUAUUGAUUUGAUUACA